rnacentral:rRNA from 1 species
CCGUGUACGUACAAGCAGUAGGAGCACCUUCGUGGUGUGACUGCGUACCUUUUGUAUAAUGGGUCAGCGACUUAUAUUCAGUGGCAAGGUUAACCGUAUAGGGGAGCCGUAGCGAAAGCGAGUCUUAACUGGGCGCUCAGUCUCUGGAUAUAGACCCGAAACCGGGUGAUCUAGCCAUGGGCAGGUUGAAGGUUGAGUAACAUCAACUGGAGGACCGAACCGACUAAUGUUGAAAAAUUAGCGGAUGACUUGUGGCUAGGGGUGAAAGGCCAAUCAAACUCGGAGAUAGCUGGUUCUCCCCGAAAGC